GAUGGCGUGCUCCGGUUCAUGACGGUUUCCACGUUUCUUUGAAACGGCGUGCAGCUUGUUUUGAGAAAGGCCAGUCUGAGGUCUGCGGUGCUUUACAGAGCAUGUGAUGCUGCUCGGACGGCCCAUUGGAUAAGCACGCCGCACCUGAGGAUUCAACAUUAUCAACUGAGCCCUGCACUGCGCCCAAGGGACCACGGACCACAAAGCAGUAACCACUAAUGCCGAACAGAUGUUCAUCAGCUGCUGAAAUGGGAUGAACUCUUCCUGCACGGUGGCUGGUUUCACUGCGGCUUUAGCUGCAUUAAGGCGCCGCUGCAGUUUAUUCGCUUGCUGCGGUAUAACAUCACAUGAUAACAAGAACCUGAAAGUGGGCAGAUCAGCACAGGAAGACCAAAACGUGCC